AAAAAUCCGUGGCGCCGAGCGGGACUCGGCCUGCCCCGCCCCAGCCCUAUAAGGGGAGACCACUACUGUGAACUAAGGGUCAAACUCCAGGACCUGGCAUGGGCUAGUUUUCCUGCUUUUCAUUACAACCCGUUACAUGGGGUCGGGAGUAGAAUUUGCCACUUGUCAUGUA